ACGGGUGAGUAACACGUGGGUAACCUACCUAUAAGACUGGGAUAACUUCGGGAAACCGGAGCUAAUACCGGAUAAUAUUUCGAACCGCAUGGUUCGAUAGUGAAAGAUGGCUCUGCUAUCACUUAUAGAUGGACCUGCGCCGUAUUAGCUAGUUGGUAAGGUAACGGCUUACCAAGGCAACGAUACGUAGCCGACCUGAGAGGGUGAUCGGCCACACUGGAACUGAGACACGGUCCAGACUCCUACGGGAGGCAGCAGUAGGGAAUCUUCCGCAAUGGGCGAAAGCCUGACGGAGCAACGCCGCGUGAGUGAUGAAGGUCUUCGGAUCGUAAAACUCUGUUAUUAGGGAAGAACAAACGUGUAAGUAACUGUGCACGUCUUGACGGUACCUAAUCAGAAAGCCACGGCUAACUACGUGCCAGCAGCCGCGGUAAUACGUAGGUGGCAAGCGUUAUCCGGAAUUAUUGGGCGUAAAGCGCGCGUAGGCGGUUUUUUAAGUCUGAUGUGAAAGCCCACGGCUCAACCGUGGAGGGUCAUUGGAAACUGGAAAACUUGAGUGCAGAAGAGGAAAGUGGAAUUCCAUGUGUAGUGGUGAAAUGCGCAGA
rnacentral:rRNA from 1 species